UCUCCGUUGGUGAGCCCGCGGAGGGAUCAUUACAGGACUCGCAAGACUCCUACAACCCUGUGAACUUAACUAUAAGCACGUUGCUUCGGCGGGUGUCUCGGAGGGGGUUCUCCCUCCCCGAGACGCUAAACCCGCCGGCAGCCUACUAUACUCUGUCUCUUUGCGUUGGCAUCUCGAGUACAAUCAAACAAGUUAAAACUUUCAACAACGGAUCUCUUGGUUCUG
rnacentral:misc_RNA from 1 species